UACAGAGGGGGCAAGCGUUAUUCGGAAUUAUUGGGCGUAAAGGGCGCGUAGGCGGCCUGGCAAGUGGAAGGUGAAAUCCCUCGGCUUAACCGAGGAACUGCCUCCCAAACUGCUUGGCUUGAGACCGGGAGAGGUGAGUGGAAUUCCCAGUGUAGCGGUGAAAUGCGUAGAUAUCUGGAGGAACACCGGUGGCGAAGGCGGCAUCCUGGACCAACACUGACGCUGAGUGAGCGAAAGCCAGGGGAGCAAACGGG
rnacentral:rRNA from 1 species